AGAGUUUGAUCAUGGCUCAGGAUGAACGCUAGCUACAGGCUUAACACAUGCAAGUCGAGGGGCAGCAUGGUCUUAGCUUGCUAAGGCUGAUGGCGACCGGCGCACGGGUGAGUAACACGUAUCCAACCUGCCGUCUACUCUUGGCCAGCCUUCUGAAAGGAAGAUUAAUCCAGGAUGGGAUCAUGAGUUCACAUGUCCGCAUGAUUAAAGGUAUUUUCCGGUAGACGAUGGGGAUGCGUUCCAUUAGAUAGUAGGCGGGGUAACGGCCACCUAGUCAGCGAUGGAUAGGGGUUCUGAGAGGAAGGUCCCCCANAUUGGAACUGAGCACGGUCAACUCCUACGGAGCA
rnacentral:rRNA from 1 species